AAAUAUCUGAUAUGCAGGAUGUAUUUAAGCAACCCCUGUGAAAGGGUCAUUUGACCCCCAAAGGGGUUGCGAGCCACAGGUUGAGAACCGCUGCUUUAGGGUUUUCUAUAUAUAUCAUGUCAUUUACAAAUAGUGACAGUUUUAGUUUUUCCUUUCCAAUUUGGAUGAUGCCUUUUCUUUUUCUUACCUAAUUGUUCUGGCUAUGACUUUUCAGUACUAUGUUGAAUAACAUUUAAAAUUUGACAUAAAAAGCAAAGUGGCCCCAAGAAAGCAGUUUGAAACUAAAUGUUGAGCACUUGAUGAGACCAUGGGAACAACUUUCUCCUUUUUAUGUAGCCCUAUGUGGGUAAUGUAGGUUUUAGAAGCAAUCCCAACUUACUACUGAUUGCUGUGUCACAAGCCACCUCAAAACUUAAGAAGCUUAAACAAUAAUCGCUCUGACAUGUUUUCUAUGGGUCAGGAAUCUGGGAUAAGGCUCUCCUUGGCAAUUCUAAUGCAGGGUAUCUGAUGCACUUCCAGUUAGUACCUGGAGCUGGAAUAGCAGGAGGCUGGAAUACUAGCGACUGGCCAAGCACCUCUCUCUGCUUGUAGUUUCAGGGCCUCUCCAUGUAGGUUGGAUUGGGCUUCCUCACAGCAUGUCAGCCUCAGGGUGAUGCUCAAGGACUACCAGAGCUUGUGUGUUCCAACAGAUCAGCAGGCAAGCUGCACUGCCUGUUAUGACCAAACCUUGGAAGUCACAUGGCAUUACUUUUGUCAUAUUAUCCAGUCACCUCUUGAUCUGAAGGAUGUCAGAGACUUUACUGACAUUUUACAACUGUCACAUUCACCUUAAGAAGCCCAUUUGGUAUGGAAGGCAAGACCAGUCCAGAUGGCACCACCAGAAUGACACCAAAAGACAUAACUACAGUAGGAGUGUUGGUGAACUUUCCUUCUUGGCAAUGGCAAGACUACCCCCUCCAGAGUGUGGUAUUAACAGGAGUUUAUGUCAAUUUCCAACUUGAAAAUAAUAUCAGGUAAAUAAGCAGAUUUCGGUAAUGUGGCUUUGUUACGUGAACCAUCACCUAAAACAGGGGUGGGGAACCUUUUUUCUGCCAAGAGUCAUUUAGAUAUUUAUAACAACAUUCACGGGCCAUACAGAAUUGGCUGCUGUGGCUCAGUCAGUUGAGCAUUGCCCCAUGCACCAAGAGGUCACAGGUUCCAUUCCAUUCCCAGUCAGGGCACAUGCCCAGACUGCAAGCCUGAUCCCCAGUAGGGGGAGUGCACGAGGCAGCCCAUCAGCGUUUCUAUCUCUCCCCUUGCCCUUUCUCUCGCUCUAAAAUAAAAUAUACAUUGAAAAAAAAAUCUUGUUAUAUUUGAUCAAACAUUUAAUUAACUCACCCCUAAUGCCUUGGCAGGGCCAGACCAAAUGACUUCUCGGGCCUUAUACAGCAUGCAGGCUGGACGUUCCCCACCCCUGACCUAAAAUGUGACGGAUUCUGAGGGCACAUAACAAAUGUGUUGAUGCUUGAAUAGAACACAGCCUCCUAGAGGCAUCUGUUGUGUUGAGCAGUGUGGUCUAGAACUUUCUGUGCUGGAAAUACUGUGCUGUGCCAUACGGAUAAUACCUAACCACAUGUGCCCCUGAGCAUAUGAAAUAUAGUAGGACUAGAGUGUGCUUUUAAUUUUAAUUAACUCUAAUUUAAAUAGUCACGUGUGUCUACUGUAUUAGCCAGCAAUUAGAUAAAUAUUUGACACCAGAGAUAUGAAUAUGAGCAAAGUGCUAUGGGGAUCCAGAGUAAUGGGGCUAGUCACACACUAAUGCCACCCUGACUCAGGUUUACUGGCUGGAUCCAAAGGAGUAGUACCCCCAGAGACGCCGCCACUGAAAUAUACCAUCCAAGACCCUAAAGUAAGGGACAGACAAGAGCCAUCUGGGAGAAAAUAUAUAGGUUGGUGAGGGGUUAACUUUUAGCCCGGGAACUCCCUUUCCAAAUGGAAACUUCAAAGACAAUAGAAACUUGGAGCUAUUUUAGUUGAAAGCAGGGGUGGAGGCCCAAUGACUGUGCUGCCUCGGACUUAGAAAUGACAAAAGUAAAUUCCUCAUUCCUUUGAACCUCACUCCAAACUGCAGCACAUCUUGAGAUCAAUAAUGAAGCUACAUGUUUAUUGUUCAAAACAAAUUUAUUCUCAGAAUGCACAAAAAGCACAGGUUGAGGCUACCGUGGGAGGCUUCCCUCCCCCUGCUGCCACCUCCCCCUCCUCUCUGCCCGGGAGAACACAGUUGAAGGAAGAAACAUGCAAUCACAAACAAUGAGUAACUCUAAAGACAAAAGGUUUGGUCCAAAAGAACUCAACAU